rfam:Oryza sativa Japonica Group DNA, chromosome 12, cultivar: Nipponbare, complete sequence.
GGAGAGAUGGCUGAGUGGUUGAUAGCUCCGGUCUUGAAAACCGGUAUAGUUCUACGAACUAUCGAGGGUUCGAAUCCCUCUCUCUCCU